CCUUCGCUGGGUAAUUCACAAACAUGGAUCAGUACGUGUUCUUCUACUGGUAAGGAUUGGAAAAUUGGGGAGAGAUGGAUUCGGAGUACCAGAACUCGAGUGUGAGGAGGUCAAUGGCUGACAUGUCGCGAGCCGGCAGUGAUAAAAUUGCUUCUUACCCGUGGUUCAAA